UAAACAGCAAAGUCUCCCCUAAAAAGCACAGCUCCUGUUCCUUAUACAAAGGGUGAGGGAACGAGGUGAUUGAAAUUUCUGAAUAUGUAAUUAACAUCUGUGUGAUUAGGGGCUCCCCCGCAACACUCUAGUUCUAUCUGAU
rnacentral:snoRNA from 1 species